CCCUUAGAUGUCCUGGGCCGCACGCGCGUUCCACUGAUGCAUUCAACGAGCUUAUAACCUUGGCCGAGAGGCCUGGGCAAUCUUGUUAACGUGCAUCGUGAUAGGGAUAGAUUAUUGAAAUUAUUAAUCUUGAACGAGGAAUUCCUAGUAAACGCAGAUCAUCAAUCUGCAUUGAUUACGUCCCUGCCCUUUGUACACACCGCCCGUCGCACCUACCGAUUGGAUGGUCCGGUGAAGCCUCGGGAUUGUGGUUCUUGCCGCUUUAUUGUGGCGUGACCGCGAGAACUUGUCUAAACCUUAUCAUCUAGAGGAAGGUGAAGUCGUAACA
rnacentral:rRNA from 1 species